rnacentral:lncRNA from 1 species
UAACAACUGUUUUUGGUCACUGUUUACCAAUCCAGCAUGGUAAACACUUAUAAAUCUAUUGUUAAAACAUAUUAGUUUGUCCUUGUAGGCAUUUUCCCUCAGUUCACCUAAAAUGUCUCUGUACAAUUUACCAAGGGUAGUUACACUCCUGAAAAUAAAGAUGAGUUUUCCACCACCAAAAGCAAAAAGCAUGCAGAUUUAACUAAUAAAUUUGAUUAGUAUUGAGUACAAAUUUUUAGAUAUGCAAAUAUAAGAAGUGAAAUAAUGUAGAUGCAUGACAUGUGUCAUUACUUGAAAGCCAUCUAAAUCCUGGUUAAUACAGAUUUCAGAGCAAC